rnacentral:rRNA from 1 species
CCUACGGGUGGCUGCAGUGGGGAAUAUUGGACAAUGGGGGCAACCCUGAUCCAGCCAUGCCGCGUGUGUGAAGAAGGCCCUCGGGUUGUAAAGCACUUUCAGUGAGGAAGAACGCCUGGUGGUUAAUACCCAUCAGGAAAGACAUCACUCACAGAAGAAGCACCGGCUAACUCCGUGCAGCAGCCGCGGUAAUACGGAGGGUGCGAGCGUUAAUCGGAAUUACUGGGCGUAAAGCGCGCGUAGGUGGCUUGAUAAGCCGGUUGUGAAAGCCCCGGGCUCAACCUGGGAACGGCAUCCGGAACUGUCAAGCUAGAGUGCAGGAGAGGAAGGUAGAAUUCCCGGUGUAGCGGUGAAAUGCGUAGAGAUCGGGAGGAAUACCAGUGGCGAAGGCGGCCUUCUGGACUGACACUGACACUGAGGUGCGAAAGCGUGGGUAGCAAACAGGAUUAGAUACCCUUGUAGUC